UACGAAGGGGGCUAGCGUUGCUCGGAAUUACUGGGCGUAAAGCGCACGUAGGCGGCUUUCUAAGUCGGGGGUGAAAUCCUGGAGCUCAACUCCAGAACUGCCUUCGAUACUGGAAAGCUCGAGUCCGGGAGAGGUGAGUGGAACUGCGAGUGUAGAGGUGAAAUUCGUAGAUAUUCGCAAGAACACCAGUGGCGAAGGCGGCUCACUGGCCCGGUACUGACGCUGAGGUGCGAAAGCGUGGGGAGCAAAGCAGG
rnacentral:rRNA from 1 species